GAUGAACGCUGGCGGCGUGCCUAAUACAUGCAAGUCGAGCGAACGGACGAGAAGCUUGCUUUUCUGAUGUUAGCGGCGGACGGGUGAGUAACACGUGGAUAACCUACCUAUAAGACUGGGAUAACUUCGGGAAACCGGAGCUAAUACCGGAUAAUAUUUUGAACCGCAUGGUUCAAAAGUGAAAGACGGUCUUGCUGUCACUUAUAGAUGGAUCCGCGCUGCAUUAGCUAGUUGGUAAGGUAACGGCUUAACAAGGCAACGAUGCAUAGCCGCCCUGAGAGGGUGAUCGGCCACACGGGAACUGAGACACGGUCCAGACUCCUACGGGAGGCAGCAGUAGGGAAUCUUCCGCGAUGGGCGAGAGCGUGACGGAGCAACGCCGCGUGAGUGAUGAAGGUCUUCGGAUCGUAAAACUCUGUUAUUAGGGAAGAACAUAUGUGUAAGUAACUGUGCACAUCUUGACGGUACCUAAUCAGAAAGCCACGGCUAACUACGUG
rnacentral:rRNA from 1 species